AACAUGUUUAAAGGCAGAGUAGGUAAUCCUGGAAAAAUGGUCUGAGCAAGCUACAUUUUGAAAAUACACAAUUUAAAGUCCAAACCCCUUUCUUCAGACUUCCCCCUGAAGCCACGCCUCCAG